CUGUUUUUAGCUCGAUCAUAUCCAUUACAGGUGGAGUCAUGUUCGUGGUCUUUGAAAUUCGGAUUACCAAACUCCAGUCUCUCGUGACUGAACUUGUAGUGUUUACCAGCUCAUUCAGUAUCUAGCAUGAAUUAUAUCUUUCUCCCUGGUGUCAAAUGGGAACUUUUUAACAAUUAGAAGUUUGAUGAAAUUGAUUCAAUAUCUUAUGAUGAAGUUCAGACUGCAAGGAGCUUUGCUUGACAAGGUUGGUUUAUUAACUUAGGUCGCUUGUUUGAAAUGUGAAUCUGGCAGCCUGCAGGUCCCUAUUUUGGCCUCUACAAGACUGCAACUUUUUUACAAUUGUUAACUUAUCACUAAUAAGGCGACAAGCAAUUCCUGAUAAGUACUUUGGCGGAGUUACAACUGAAUUUUCUCAAAAUAAGCUUGAUGAGCUCAGAGACUUGUGGAUCAAAUAUGUGGAUGAGUAUAAACAAGUGGAUGAAGAAGAAUUGGAAGAUAAUGACUAUUUUAAUUAGGAUGUGUGUAUUUUCUUUUUGAGCGGGAUUAGGGAGGUGCUUCUAUUUUUGUGCACAUGAAUUGGAAGAAACGAUAGGCCUAGGUGUUCUCUUAUUUUUUUAUAACUUAGUUGAAUCU